rnacentral:rRNA from 1 species
UACGGAGGGUGCAAGCGUUAAUCGGAAUUACUGGGCGUAAAGCGCACGUAGGUGGUUUUCUAAGUCAGCUGUGAAAUCCCCGGGCUCAACCUGGGAAUGGCGAUGGAUACUGGCUCGCUAGAGUGUGAUAGAGGAUGGUGGAAUUCCCGGUGUAGCGGUGAAAUGCGUAGAGAUCGGGAGGAACAUCAGUGGCGAAGGCGGCUCUCUGGGCCUUACCUGACGCUGAGGAGCGAAAGCGUGGGUAGCGAACAGG